AUUCAAUCGCUUAUCUGGGGAAAAUCUGAGAUCUGAGUUCUAUGCAGCGUUGGACACGCAUUCUGCACGUUUGACUGAAAAUUUUCGGAGGAAAUCGGGGAAGAACACUUGAUGAAAUGAUGCAUCAUGUUGACUCAAGUCAUCUGAUGUAACGUAUGUUUACACUGCAUUACUUCAGGGUCUUCCAAUCCUCCUGGGGGAUGACCCAGAGGAAUUUUUCAGGAUGAGCUUCGAUUCAGAUGUAGAUGCAGGCUUCAGUGAAUUAGAUGUUGGACUGCUCACAGUUUUACUUGAAGGCAUGCCAGCCAAAUGUCCACAUGCCCUCAACAUGGAUGCAAUGGAGGGAAGAAGUGUCAUGAAUGAUGUCCCAAAUUUGCCACAUUCUGUAUGUCUCCAUUUGCUUUGAACUAUGCUCUAAAUUUAGACCAUCCAAGGACAAUGAGGAACACAUUUGAUUUUAUUCAGCGUGUAUUUCUGUCUUUGGGAGGAAAGAAUCUCAAACCCAAACUCCAAACCCUUAAAAAUCAUAUUUUAAGCUGAACUUGUUUCUGGCAUAUUUUGCUGUAAUUGCAGUUCAGAUUAAGAAUCUUUCCAAAGACACAUGCAGGUUUUUCCAAAUUGUAAAGGCUAUUUUUCUUUCUUUUUUUCUUUUAAAUAAAUACUUUUUGGAGUUUGCACAGUGCCUGUUCUGCAAAUGCUCAAUACCUUGUUUUAGG